UGGACAGAUUAUUGUAUUCGACUGCAUUCACGGCGUGAAAUAGGGGAUUACACUAUUUUUAAAAAGGAAAGUGAAUCAACUAAUAUAAUAAACUCCU
rfam:Nicotiana sylvestris Nsyl_contig165730, whole genome shotgun sequence.